UACGUAGGGUGCAAGCGUUAAUCGGAAUUACUGGGCGUAAAGCGUGCGCAGGCGGUUUUGUAAGUCUGUCGUGAAAGCCCCGGGCUCAACCUGGGAAUUGCGAUGGAGACUGCAAGGCUUGAAUCUGGCAGAGGGGGGUAGAAUUCCACGUGUAGCAGUGAAAUGCGUAGAGAUGUGGAGGAACACCGAUGGCGAAGGCAGCACCCUGGGUCAAGAUUGACGCUCAUGCACGAAAGCGUGGGGAGCAAGCAGG
rnacentral:rRNA from 1 species